GAUGAACGCUGGCGGCGUGCUUAACACAUGCAAGUCGAACGAAGCACUUUAUUUGAUUUCCUUCGGGACUGAUUAUUUUGUGACUGAGUGGCGGACGGGUGAGUAACGCGUGGGUAACCUGCCAUGUACAGGGGGAUAACAGUUGGAAACGGCUGCUAAUACCGCAUAAGCGCACGGCAUCGCAUGAUGCAGUGUGAAAAACUCCGGUGGUAUAAGAUGGACCCGCGUUGGAUUAGCUAGUUGGUGAGGUAACGGCCCACCAAGGCGACGAUCCAUAGCCGACCUGAGAGGGUGACCGGCCACAUUGGGACUGAGACACGGCCCAAACUCCUACGGGAGGCAGCAGUGGGGAAUACUGCACAAUGGGCGAAAGCCUGAUGCAGCGACGCCGCGUGAGCGAAGAAGUAUUUCGGUAUGUAAAGCUCUAUCAGCAGGGAAGAUAAUGACGGUACCUGACUAAGAAGCACCGGCUAAAUACGUG
rnacentral:rRNA from 1 species